AUGGCCUUGCCUGCCUGCCUGCCUUGGCUGACUGGCUGGUUGGAGUCAUGGCCCAGGCCUACCUUGCUAGGAUGGAUGGCUGUAGACACAGCCCCUGCCUGCCUGCCUUGGCUGACUGGCUGGAGUCAUGGCCCCUGCCUGCCUGCCUACCUAGGCUGUCUGGCUGGAGUCAUGGCCCCUUCCUGCUUGCCUGCCUUGGCUGGCAGGCUUGAAUCACGGCCCCUGCCUGCCUGCCUUGACUGGCUGACUGGAGUUGCAGUUCCUGUCUGCCUGCCUUAGUUGAGUAGCUGGAGUCACGGCCCCUACCUGCCUGCCUGCCUGGCCUGACCAGUUGGAGUUGUGGCCCCUGCCUGACUGCCUUGGCUGACUGGCUGGUUGGAGUCAUGACCCACGUGUAGCCUGCAUAGGCUCACCGGCUGGAGACACAGCCCCUGCCUGCCUGCCUUAGGUGACUGGCUGCAGUCAUGGCCCCUUCCUGCCUGCCUUGGCUGACUGGCUGGUUGGAGUCAUGGCCCAGGCCUGCCUGCCUAGGCUGGAUGGCUGUAGACAAAGCCCCUUCCUGCCUGUCUUGUCCGACUGGCUGGAGUCAUGUCCCUGCCUGCCUGCCUUGGCUGCCUGACUGGAGUCGCAGCUCCUGCCUGCCUGCCUUGGCUGACUGUCUGGUUGGAGUCAUGGCCCAGGCCUGCCUCC
rnacentral:lncRNA from 7 species